rnacentral:rRNA from 1 species
GAUGAACGCUGGCGGCGUGCUUAACACAUGCAAGUCGAACGAAGCACUUUAUUUGAUUUCCUUCGGGACUGAUUAUUUUGUGACUGAGUGGCGGACGGGUGAGUAACGCGUGGGUAACCUGCCUUGUACAGGGGGAUAACAGUUGGAAACGGCUGCUAAUACCGCAUAAGCGCACAGCAUCGCAUGAUGCAGUGUGAAAAACUCCGGUGGUAUAAGAUGGACCCGCGUUGGAUUAGCUAGUUGGUGAGGUAACGGCCAACCAAGGCGACGAUCCAUAGCCGACAGGGGAAGGGGACCGGCCACAAUGGGAAUGAGACACAGACCAAACUCCUACGGAAGGGAGCAGUGGGGAAUAUUGCACAAGGGGCGAAAGUGUGAUGCAGCGACGCCGCGGAAGCGAAGAAGUAUUUCGGUAUGUAAAGCUCUAUCAGAAGGGAAGAUAAUGACGGUACCUGACAAAGAAGCACCGGCUAAAUACGUG